AUGCCCAUGAAAAGGGAACAGUCUUAACAGAUCCUUAUAAUGCUCACAUGCGUCAAACAAUAAUUCUCCAUCAUCUUGUCUAAAAAUAUUAAUCUCAUUCCUAACUU